UACGUAGGUGGCAAGCGUUGUCCGGAUUUACUGGGCGUAAAGAGCGCGCAGGCGGUCGUUCAAGUCGAGUGUGAAAGCCCCCGGCUCAACUGGGGAGGGUCACUCGAUACUGAUCGACUCGAAGGCAGAAGAGGGAAGCGGAAUUCCCGGUGUAGUGGUGAAAUGCGUAGAUAUCGGGAGGAACACCAAUGGCGAAGGCAGCUCGCUGGGACGUGACUGACGCUGAGACGCGAAAGCGUGGGGAGCAAACAGG
rnacentral:rRNA from 1 species